ensembl:misc_RNA 7SK 7SK RNA
GGAUGUGAGGGCGAUCUGGCUGCGACAUCUGUCACCCCAUUGAUCGCCAGGGUUGAUUCGGCUGAUCUGGCUGGCUAGGCGGGUGUCCCCUUCCUCCCUCACCGCUCCAUGUGCGUCUCUCCCGAAGCUGCGCGCUCGGUCGAAGAGGACGACCUUCCCCAAUAGAGGAGAGGACCGUUCUUCGGUCAAGGGUAUACGAGUAGCUGCGCUCCCCUGCUAGAACCUCCAAACAAGCUCUCAAGGUCCAAAUACAGUGUUGCCUCUCACCCCCUGCACAGCCAUAGAAUAACAAAGCUGCCACUUU